GUUAGCUAGACAGUCGCUGUAAUGUCCCUAUUUAAAUCAGUUAAAAGAUAGAAUGGGUUUAUUACAGAGGAAAGUCCGGGCUCCAUCGGGCAAAGUGCCAGGUAAUACCUGGGAGGUCUAAGCCUACGGAAAGUGCCACAGAAAAUAGACCGCCGAAGACUAUCCGUUUUGCUUUGGCGAAGCGGAGCUCAUAGCAAUCGGAUUUUUUGACAAGGCGCCGUAAAAAUGAGCAACCGGAGUGUGUGUAACAGACUUGAGGAUUGCGAAUUAAGCGGAAACGUAGUCAAAAAUUCAAGUGCGAGGAGUAUAGAGCGAGGUAAGGGUGAAAAGGUGUGGUAAAAGCGCACCGCGUCAUUGGUAACAAUUGAUGGCAGGGUAAACCCCACUUGGAGCAAGACCAAAUAGGAAUCUUUUAAGCAUGGCCCAUGCGAGGUUCGGGUAGGUCGCUUGAGAUGUACGGUGACGUACAUCCUAGAUGAAUGACUGUCCACGACAGAACCCGGCUUAUCGGCUAACUCU
rnacentral:RNase_P_RNA from 1 species